rnacentral:rRNA from 1 species
UACGUAGGGCGCAAGCGUUAUCCGGAAUUAUUGGGCGUAAAGAGCUCGUAGGCGGUUUGUCGCGUCUGCCGUGAAAGUCCGGGGCUCAACUCCGGAUCUGCGGUGGGUACGGGCAGACUAGAGUGAUGUAGGGGAGACUGGAAUUCCUGGUGUAGCGGUGAAAUGCGCAGAUAUCAGGAGGAACACCAGUGGCGAAGGCGGCUCACUGGCCCGAUACUGACGCUGAGGAGCGAAAGCGUGGGGAGCGAACAGG